GGGUCCGUGGUCUAGCGGUUAUGACGUCGCCCUUACAAGGCGAAUAUCACCAGUUCAAAUCUGGUCGGUCCCAC
rnacentral:tRNA from 1 species